CCUCCCAAUUCGCGCUCCCGGACGCCAGAGGCUGCUGCCCCCAUGUGCCGCUGCCGAGCUAUCGCGCUCGCGCUAACCACCGUGUGCGGAUCACCCAGCCUCGCCUUGCUCGAUGCCACGCGGAGGCAUCCCUGCCGCGUGUGGAGCCGCGGACCGACGGAUUGAUGGACCGCCGCGCAUCGACGCCGCGCGGAUCGUCGAGCCCGCCGCCACAUCCACGACGCCGUGCGCACCUGCUUGCUCUCCUGCUCCCGGUGCCGUCGCUGGAAGUCAACCCCGGCAUCCGCAUCUUCUGGGGCUCCACCGCAGCAGCCGCACUCCCGGCCGCCAUCGACGCCAUCCUUGCACGGUACAAUGUGGCCCAAGAUGUGAAUGUGAUGGGCGUGAAGCAUAUAUGCAGGAGAUUAUGGAACUGCAAGUGCCGCAUCUGCAGUAGGCACUAUAGUGGAAUGUUUGUUGGUUGGUCUGUAAUGUCUUACAUUUGUUUCAGAAAGCAAAUCACAAUUGCUGGGUCCGACGAUCCUGUCAUUGCAGAGCAUAGUAGGUGACUUAAAAGCCUGGUAUAGUCACACAGAAAUGUUUUAUCAAGAUAGAUGCAGUUUUGGAGUAGAUAACAUACAUCUAGCCAUGAGAAUGUUGAUUUUAAAUGAAGGCAUCUUUUGUUGAGUUAUUUUUUCUUGUACCUUAUGGCCCGGCGCCCUCACUCUCCACCGCGCUGCCCUAGCGCCUCACCGUCCACCGAGCCGCCUGAUCCUUCGAAGGAGUGAAGGAGCACAACUUCGCUUGGCGGCUGUUUGCCUGUUGCCUGUAUCGCGUGCUGCCACCGGCUGGUUGGAAUCCGGCCUCCAUCCCGUUCCCUUUGUUUUGAAAAAGGAGGAACUGAUCCAACAAGGUUAUGGAUGGGAAUCAGUCAGAAUAAAAUGCAUAUAUAUAUAUAUAUAUAUAUCUGAUAAUGCAACCAGUCUGCUACAUUGCUCAAGCCCAAUGUAGCCUGAAACCUUAAGUUCUUUUGUGUCUGUGACAAGCCAGAGAACCAAGAAACGUACCCUUUUCACUUUAGAUGGCCCAACUGGUAGAAAAGCAUAAGAUUCAUGUACUCUACAAGACUGGAUGGAGAAAUAGCAUCGAGUCUAGACAGCAUAUCAUGAAAUCCAAGACUAAUUUCUGCAGAAAGCAUUGUGAUACAUUAUCACAUCUGUUUUGAGGUUGUUCUUUUACCUAGAUCUUUAUGCUGCGGCAGAGCCGCGGAGGUUGGACGGACCUUCAAGCAAACACCAAAUUCGAAAAUUUGAGCAAUUCAUCACCUGUCGAGUGAAAAACACAAGGAUGACAUGCUAUCCUUAAUGAUUCCUAGCUCCACGCCUGGCUUUGUAGAUCACCCAAUAGUAAUGGUUGGAGAGAUGCCAAAUAUAUUUUCACUUUUCAGCGAUCACUGAACUUGCAGUUUUGUAAGAGCACUGGGAUUUGGCUAACAAUAUUCUAUGCUACCAUAAAUGGAUGAUUCCAAGAUUUUUCCGGUAACAGCUUGACUGGUCUUCUGCCUCCGGUGGAAAUUUGAUAGCAUUGACUAGCCUGUUAGUAUUGUCUGAACUUCUCACUAUUGUGAAUUACCUUUUUUUUUGCUAAUUAGUUAAACCAAUCUGAUACUUUUCACUCUGUUCUCGAAUUUUAGCUACUAUAUGUGGGCACAAGGAUGUUGAUACUAACUUUUGUUACAUAUCUUUUUCUCACAUAAUGUUGAUUUUUGCUACUAUAUUUGGGCACAAGGUUGGUAGUUCAGUUUGAGAGAAACAGAUGUGGUAGCAAAAGCAAAAAAAAAAAUGCAGGUUUCGGAAACAGAUGGUGCUUUAUAUCUUGUUUUAUCUUGCAGGCUUGGCAAUUUGUGUAAUUGUGUGGCAAUGGAUCUUUACUUGCUGCUUGGGCAUGGGUUAGGCUGCUGUUUACCUGUGCUUUAUAAUGUUUCCCUGCGGUGCUGAAUGCUUCUGGUAUCAGGAAGCAUGCGGUGAUGCAUAUAUGAGGCGAGCAGCGGUGCAAACGGGGGAGGCAUGGCCAGUGAACAGUGGAAAAGCAUGCGGCAAGCCAGACAUUGCCUUUCAAGGCCCCAGGGAAGAACACAACUUGGUCUCCUACUCGGGAGAGCUAUUUGGAGCGUUGUUUAGUUCGUUUGUAGCGAAUCAAACGCAAUGCAUUGUUGAAAAAGCAGCUGUGUCUGUAGCGGUAUCAUAUUUCAAACAUAUUUUUAUAAUUAUAUACUCAUACAUACCACUAUACUCUAUCUUAUACGUACCAUUUACCUAUUUUUAUAAUUAUAUGGUUUUUU